GAUGAACGCUGGCGGCGUGCUUAACACAUGCAAGUCGAACGAAGCAAUUUAGCGGAAGUUUUCGGAUGGAAGCUAGAUUGACUGAGUGGCGGACGGGUGAGUAACGCGUGGGUAACCUGCCUCACACUGGGGGACAACAGUUAGAAAUGACUGCUAAUACCGCAUAAGCGCACAGGACCGCAUGGUCCGGUGUGAAAAACUCCGGUGGUGUGAGAUGGACCCGCGUUUGAUUAGCUAGUUGGUGGGGUAACGGCCUACCAAGGCGACGAUCAAUAGCCGACCUGAGAGGGUGACCGGCCACAUUGGGACUGAGACACGGCCCAAACUCCUACGGGAGGCAGCAGUGGGGAAUAUUGCACAAUGGGGGGAACCCUGAUGCAGCGACGCCGCGUGAGUGAAGAAGUAUUUCGGUAUGUAAAGCUCUAUCAGCAGGGAAGAAAAUGACGGUACCUGACUAAGAAGCC
rnacentral:rRNA from 1 species